rnacentral:rRNA from 1 species
AAACCGGGGCUAAUACCGGAUAAUACUUUUCGUUGCAUAACGAGAAGUUGAAAGGCGGCUUUUAGCUGUCACUUACAGAUGGGCCCGCGGCGCAUUAGCUAGUUGGUAAGGUAACGGCUUACCAAGGCGACGAUGCGUAGCCGACCUGAGAGGGUGAUCGGCCACACUGGGACUGAGACACGGCCCAGACUCCUACGGGAGGCAGCAGUAUGGAAUCUUCCGCAAUGGACGAGAGUCUGACGGAGCAACGCCGCGUGAGUGAUG